AUGGAUGAUUUCUUCAAACAAUUUGAUAAAGAACAAUGGAAGAGCGGAACCAAACCCACACCAAAGCAAAUUCGUGAGUUAAGAUUAAAUGGUUGGAAAUCAGGCCGCGGUCCGGAUUUUUUUGACUGGUUUAAAACACAUUGUAUGGAAUCAUCUAAUAUUCACAAUGCUUUGCGCCAAAUGUCUUAUGAAUUUCGUAGUAGAGUUAGAAGGUAUGGCAUCUAUGAUGUCAAUGGGUAUAGGUUCCGGUCAGAGUUGUAUGAAAGUGAGAAAUCAGGAUUAUCAACAAUCAAUACUGGAAGCAUGCAACUUGAGCUAGUUUUAUUUGAUUGUCACUGGUUUGACCCUACACCUGAUGGACUUAAACGAACUGAGAAGUUGGGCUUGGUGGAGGUUAAACACACAUCUCGGCUGUCAAAUUUUGAUCCAUUUGUCCUGGGAAGUCAAGUCAGUCAAGUAUAUUAUCUGCCGUACGCAUGUAAGACCAGACCAGAUCUAUUGGAUUGGUCGAUUGCGUAUCAUGUUCCUCCACAUGGCUAUCUUCCUCCUAAUGGAAGCAAUGAUGAAGGACCAAGAGAUGACAUGUUUGUCUAUCAAGAAGAUGGUUUGGAAGGCACCUUUGUGAUAGACUUAGGGAUUGACCUAGAAGUUACAACAUCAUUGAUAUCAGAUGAGAUUGAGAUUACUGACCCGAAGGAUCUGGAACGGUUAAAGAAGCAGCAAGAAGGUGUUCAAGUUAACGACAGUGAGGAUGACGAUGAAGAUGAUGAAGUAGACGAUGACCUCGAGCAUGAAACCCCAUCUUAUGACCCAAAUGAUUUCUGCUUUGUGCUUCUAAAACUGAGUUGUUUGUUGAUGACCGGCACAAUUCGCCACACCAGAUUACGUCGCAAGGCUGCUAGCAACUCAAAUGGUAUUUGCACCAACUCUAAUGGCAGCAACUCCCAAAGGACCAACUGUGAUGGCGGUGACUCAGGUGACAAUGCCCCCCAAAGGACCAAUGCUGGCAGCAAUAACUCAAGUGGUGGCCAAACAAUCAAUGCCCGUGAAGCAAUUCCAAAGAAGAGGGGGAGGGCAAAGAGAGCAAGGACCUCACUAAGAAUGCCUCCUAAUGGUCGCAAGGUCCAACUCGAACCUAACGGUGAAACGCAAUUUAAAUAUCUUGGUGGCAUUCCCAAUGGAUACAAAUAUGGUUCACAGUUGGGAGUCAUUCUCAAGCGGGAAUAUCCAGGUUUAGUUAAGUACAUGGACGAUAGUGGUGUAACUAGAAGCCGCCCAGCACUAGAAUGGGAGGACUACUAUCUUGUGCAUGAUGAUGAAGGUGUUUCCAAUGCUGACCGGGUGAAGCAAGAAUUUUGGCGUUGCUUUGAAGUUGCCGAGGCAAAUAGGGUGGAGGCUGAUCGUAUUUUAGAAAGCUAUGCGAGGAGGAAAGUGAAAGACAUCUUGUACCAAGCUCGUGUGGAUGCAGUCAAGAUAUAUUAUGAUGACCAAGGAGAGGAGCUUGAUGACAAGCUGGCAUGUGCAAGGGAACUAAUUUAUUGGUGCUCGAAAGAGUUCAAGGAAGCAAGGCGCAGAGCCCAAAAAUUCCGCUUGCAAUCUGAAGAUGUUGCUCAAAAUCAUGGAGGUUCACGACCAUUCACGGAGUGUAGGCAAUUUUUGGAACAUAAGUUUAGACCUGAGAAGGCCACCAUAAUGAACACAUAUGUUGUGAUGAAAUCUGGUAUGAAAAACCUCGAUGAAAAUGGCAAUAGUGGUGCAAUCAGCAGCCAGAAAGCACAAAAACGCCUUGAUGAUUAUUCUACUGGUAUGAAGGAAGCAUAUCCAGAGAAUUGGCAGGACAUAGAAUUGGAUGAAAGGGUCUUGUACAACACAUCAGGUGGCAUGCCUCAUGGCCGUGUAGCGAUUGCAUCCGGUGCUGUGAAGAAAGCUGAUGUUCUUUCCGCUGCUAGGGCAACAAAUCUGAAGCCAUCUAUUUCCAUUGCUUACCGGAAUGCUAUCCAAGAGAAUGAGCAAUUACGUCAUGCAAAUGAGAGUCUAGAAAAGAAAACAGAAAUGCACGACCAAUUGUUCAAGGUAAAUACCGAUUCAUCUCAUGUUAGCUCAGAGGAUGGCCCUAUCGACCAUGACGUCGUCCAUGGCAAUAUUGAAGGCGACAAUGAUGAGGGGAACAUUGGUGUCAACGAUAACAAUUGUGGCUUCGAUCUUGAUGAAGUACCAUAUGCUCCAGGCCAAACUUAG
rnacentral:rRNA from 1 species